rnacentral:lncRNA from 1 species
UAACCCCAAAUUUCAAUUUCUAUUUCUAUUCAUUCAUUCUCUUUAUUCGUAGCAUUCUCUUCCGCCAACUAUUCCCUAAGAAUCGCGUUCUCAAUAAUUUGGCUUAAAAGGUUAGUUUCCAUUUAUACUGAAGUUUGCAUUGCAGAUCAUGUUUCUUUGUGUUGUUAAAUUGGAAAAUGCAUUCAUUCAUGCUUUUGUUUCUUAGCUCAAAUUGUUCUUGGUUUUUGUUGUUUGAAGGGUUUUGUAUUGCGGUGUUGCGAAUCUCUCUCUAACACAUAUGAUCAUCAACAAUGUCGUUCUCACUCUCAAGGUUAGCUUUACUUCGUUCUAAUAAUAAUAUCACAACUUCCAC